CUACGGACUGCACCAGUGAGGAAUAUUGCACAAUGGAGGAAACUCUGAUGCAGCAACGCCGCGUGGAGGAUGACGCAUUUCGGUGUGUAAACUCCUUUUAUAUGUCAAGAAAAUGACGGUAGCAUAUGAAUAAGCUCCGAGCUAACUCCGUGCCAGCAGCCGCGGUAAUACGGAGGGAGCAAGCGUUACUCGGAAUCACUGGGCGUAAAGGACGCGUAGGCGGGAUAGAAAGUCAGGUGUGAAAUCCUAUGGCUCAACCAUAGAACUGCACUUGAAACUUCUAACCUAGAGUAUGGGAGGGGAAGAUGGAAUUAGUGGUGUAGGGGUAAAAUCCGUAGAUAUCACUAGGAAUACCAAAAGCGAAGGCGAUCUUCUGGAACAAUACUGACGCUAAGGCGUGAAAGCGUGGGGAGCAAACAGGAUUAGAUACCCUCGUAGUC
rnacentral:rRNA from 1 species